rnacentral:misc_RNA from 1 species
CCCAACUAUCCAAAUUAAUGGCAUUACGGUUCUUUAGAAGGUGAGAAAUCAAUGAUAACAGUGCAUACCAACGGCAUGACCGAAAUAUUGAUCCCGAAAUUCAACUACGAGCUUUUUAACUGCAACAACUUUAAUAUACGCUAUUGGAGCUGGAAUUACCGCGGCUGCUGGCACCAGACUUGCCCUCCAA